AUUGAACGCUGGCGGCAUGCCUUACACAUGCAAGUCGAACGGCAGCACGGGAGCAAUCCUGGUGGCGAGUGGCGAACGGGUGAGUAAAGUAUCGGAACGUGCCCAGCCGUGGGGGAUAACGUAGCGAAAGUUACGCUAAUACCGCAUACGAUCUAUGGAUGAAAGCGGGGGAUCGCAAGACCUCGCGCGAUUGGAGCGGCCGAUAUCAGAUUAGGGAGUUGGUGGGGUAAAGGCCCACCAAGCCGACGAUCUGUAGCUGGUCUGAGAGGACGACCAGCCACACUGGGACUGAGACACGGCCCAGACUCCUACGGGAGGCAGCAGUGGGGAAUUUUGGACAAUGGGCGAAAGCCUGAUCCAGCCAUGCCGCGUGCAGGAUGAAGGCCUUCGGGUUGUAAACUGCUUUUGUACGGAACGAAAAGGUUUGGCCUAAUAAGCUGAGCUCAUGACGGUACCGUAAGAAUAAGCACCGGCUAACUACGUGCCAGCCGCCGCCGUAA
rnacentral:rRNA from 1 species